UACGAAGGGGGCUAGCGUUGCUCGGAAUCACUGGGCGUAAAGCGCACGUAGGCGGCUUUCUAAGUCAGGGGUGAAAUCCUGGAGCUCAACUCCAGAACUGCCUUUGAUACUGGAGAGCUUGAGUCCGGAAGAGGUGAGUGGAACUCCGAGUGUAGAGGUGAAAUUCGUAGAUAUUCGGAAGAACACCAGUGGCGAAGGCGGCUCACUGGUCCGGUACUGACGCUGAUGUGCGAAAGCGCGGGGAGCAAACAGG
rnacentral:rRNA from 1 species